AUUGAACGCUGGCGGCAUGCUUUACACAUGCAAGUCGGACGAGUGGAGAACGGGUGAGUAACGCAUCGGAACGUACCGAGUAAUGGGGGAUAACUGUCCGACAGGACAGCUAAUACCGCAUAUUAUUCGAGCGGCCGAUGUCUGAUUAGCUGGGUGGCGGGGUAAAGGCCCACAAAGGCGACGAUCAGUAGCGGGUCUGAGAGGAGGAUCCGUCACACGGGAACGUAGACACGGCCAAGACUCCGACGGUAGGCAGCAGGGGGGAAUUUGGGACAAUGGGCGCAAGCCUGAUACAGCCAUGCCGCGUGUCUGAAGAAGGCCUGCGGGUUGGAAAGGACGUUUGUCAGGGAAGCGGUACCUGAAGAAUAAGCACCGGCUAACUACGUGCCAGCAGCCGCGGUAAUAC
rnacentral:rRNA from 1 species